AUGAAAGCUGUAUUUAUCAAAAGAAAGAUCGCAAGCGGAAUUUAAACGACCUGGUUGAAGAAACUAAUGAGAAAAAAUGGAAAAUUUAUUCAAUAUGAUCCAAUGUCUGGGCAAAACAUGAUUUAGCAGGAUAAUUAUGGUGUAAUGUAUCGCUUUCAGCUUGCCUGAGAAUUACAGGACUGAAGUAACAGUAUGGCAUUCAAGCUUUGAUGAAAUAUAAAGUAAUGGUUUGAACUUUGAAUUUGGGAUCUUUAUUAUAGACAGGGAUGAAGACCUUAAUAGACCUGCAGUCAGACACCAGUUAAAAGUUGCUUAUAACUCAUCAUGGCCAUUACCAUGAUUAUGGAAGAUGUGAUAAAAAUUUGUUUAGAAAGCUACCAAAUAUGUUUGUGAAAAAAAACCCAGCUAUUCUACAUAAUGUACCGUUCUAAGCAGAAGCAUUGACAGUUUGAAGACCAAAUGAAUUGGAAUUUAGUGUUUUGAUGCUGAAAAACCGAGGAAUAUUAAUUGGACAAUUUAACUUCUUUUUCAUCAUUAUUGAAGUUGAUAUUUUUAUCUCAGUUAAAAUGAUGUCCUAAUAUACAUAAUGGCAGUUCAGAGAUUUGUGAAUAUUCUUAGAAUAGGAGCUGCAAAAAAGAUUUCAGUUCAAAAAAUGUGUUUCAUGGAUGUAAAAAAUGGAAUUUGUUGUCUCUUUCAUGAAAUCUUUUUAAAAAAUCUGCAAUAUCUAACCAAGAUGAGUGAGAGAUCUACAACUAGACAUGCCAUUCAGUUGAAUUGUAAUCAUGGUAAAGAGGAAU